rnacentral:lncRNA from 1 species
UCUGCAUCUAAAAUUCAUGGACUUGAAGUUUGCUCAUAGCCACAUAGGAUGUCCGGCCUCUACAGGUGAUCCACUCAAAGUCCUGUGCUGAUCUGUCAUCUUGAGAGUGCUAGCUCACGUAACGACUUCUGGAUGGCUGAUCUAUCUUUCGUAUUUCGAUGUCCCGAACUCCUCUAGAUCUGAUGAUGGAUUAGGAGGAAUAUAUGAUGCAGGAAGAAGGAGAGAAGAACUCUUUCUCUCUUAAAUAUUCCCUCUCCCAAAACCCUAGAUCAAUUUUCUAGGAUGCUCACCCA